GCUUGCUUCCGCCGACGACCGGCGCACGGGUGCGUAACGCGUAUACAAUCUACCUUGUACUGGGGUAUAGCCUUUAGAAAUGAAGAUUAACCCCCCAUAGUCUCUUAGAGUGGCAUCACUUCUAGAGUAAAGGUUACGGUAUAAGAUGAGUAUGCGUUCUAUUAGUUUGUUGGUGUGGUAACGGCACACCAAGACUACGAUAGAUAGGGGCCCUGAGAGGGGGAUCCCCCACACUGGUACUGAGACACGGACCAGACUCCUACGGGAGGCAGCAGUGAGGAAUAUUGGACAAUGGAGGCAACUCUGAUCCAGCCAUGCCGCGUGCAGGAAGACUGCCCUAUGGGUUGUAAACUGCUUUUAUACAGGAAGAAACACCUCUACGUGUAGAGGCUUGACGGUACUGUAAGAAUAAGGAUCGGCUAACUCCGUGCCAGCAGCCGCGGUAAUACGGAGGAUCCAAGCGUUAUCCGGAAUCAUUGGGUUUAAAGGGUCCGUAGGUGGAUAAUUAAGUCAGAGGUGAAAUCUUGCAGCUCAACUGUAAAAUUGCCUUUGAAACUGGUUAUCUUGAGUUAUUAUGAA
rnacentral:rRNA from 1 species